CGGGUCGCAGCAGUGGGGAAUAUUGGACAAUGGGCGAAAGCCUGAUCCAGCAAUGCCGCGUGAGUGAUGAAGGCCUUAGGGUCGUAAAGCUCUUUUACCCGGGAUGAUAAUGACAGUACCGGGAGAAUAAGCCCCGGCUAACUCCGUGCCAGCAGCCGCGGUAAUACGGAGGGGGCUAGCGUUGUUCGGAAUUACUGGGCGUAAAGCGCACGUAGGCGGUUAUUCAAGUCAGAGGUGAAAGCCCGGGGCUCAACCCCGGAACUGCCUUUGAAACUAGGUAGCUAGAAUCUUGGAGAGGCGAGUGGAAUUCCGAGUGUAGAGGUGAAAUUCGUAGAUAUUCGGAAGAACACCAGUGGCGAAGGCGACUCGCUGGACAAGUAUUGACGCUGAGGUGCGAAAGCGUGGGGAGCAAACAGGAUUAGAUACCCCAGU
rnacentral:rRNA from 1 species